rnacentral:tRNA from 3 species
GCAUCCGUAGCUCAGCUGGAUAGAGCGCUGCCCUCCGAAGGCAGAGGUCACAGGUUCGAAUCCUGUCGGGUGCACCA